rnacentral:rRNA from 1 species
UACAGAGGUCUCAAGCGUUGUUCGGAUUCAUUGGGCGUAAAGGGUGCGUAGGUGGCGCGGUAAGUCGGGGUGUGAAAUCUCGGAGCUUAACUCCGAAAUUGCAUUCGAUACUGCCGUGCUCGAGGACUGGAGAGGAGACUGGAAUUCAUGGUGUAGCAGUGAAAUGCGUAGAAAUCAUGAGGAAGACCAGUGGCGAAGGCGGGUCUCUGGACAGUUCCUGACACUGAGGCACGAAGGCCAGGGGAGCAAACGGG